rnacentral:rRNA from 1 species
CUUGCUACUGAUCUUAGCGGCGGACGGGUGAGUAAUGCUUAGGAAUCUGCCUAUUAGUGGGGGACAACAUUUCGAAAGGAAUGCUAAUACCGCAUACGUCCUACGGGAGAAAGCAGGGGAUCUUCGGACCUUGCGCUAAUAGAUGAGCCUAAGUCGGAUUAGCUAGUUGGUGGGGUAAAGGCCUACCAAGGCGACGAUCUGUAGCGGGUCUGAGAGGAUGAUCCGCCACACUGGGACUGAGACACGGCCCAGACUCCUACGGGAGGCAGCAGUGGGGAAUAUUGGACAAUGGGCGCAAGCCUGAUCCAGCCAUGCCGCGUGUGUGAAGAAGGCCUUAUGGUUGUAAAGCACUUUAAGCGAGGAGGAGGCUACUUUAGUUAAUACCUAGAGAUAGUGGACGUUACUCGCAGAAUAAGCACCGGCUAACUCUGUGCCAGCAGCCGCGGUAAUACAGAGGGUGCAAGCGUUAAUCGGAUUUACUGGGCGUAAAGCGCGCGUAGGCGGCUAAUUAAGUCAAAUGUGAAAUCCCCGAGCUUAACUUGGGAAUUGCAUUCGAUACUGGUUAGCUAGAGUGUGGGAGAGGAUGGUAGAAUUCCAGGUGUAGCGGUGAAAUGCGUAGAGAUCUGGAGGAAUACCGAUGGCGAAGGCAGCCAUCUGGCCUAACACUGACGCUGAGGUGCGAAAGCAUGGGGAGCAAACAGGAUUAGAUACCCUGGUAGUCCAUGCCGUAAACGAUGUCUACUAGCCGUUGGGGCCUUUGAGGCUUUAGUGGCGCAGCUAACGCGAUAAGUAGACCGCCUGGGGAGUACGGUCGCAAGACUAAAACUCAAAUGAAUUGACGGGGGCCCGCACAAGCGGUGGAGCAUGUGGUUUAAUUCGAUGCAACGCGAAGAACCUUACCUGGCCUUGACAUAGUAAGAACUUUCCAGAGAUGGAUUGGUGCCUUCGGGAACUUACAUACAGGUGCUGCAUGGCUGUCGUCAGCUCGUGUCGUGAGAUGUUGGGUUAAGUCCCGCAACGAGCGCAACCCUUUUCCUUAUUUGCCAGCGAGUAAUGUCGGGAACUUUAAGGAUACUGCCAGUGACAAACUGGAAGGAAGGCGGGG